rfam:Triticum aestivum genome assembly, contig: Triticum_aestivum_CS42_TGACv1_scaffold_131318_2BL
UUUGUACUCCCUCCAUCCCAAAAUUCUUGUCUUAAAUUUGUCUAAAUACGGAUGUAUCUAGUUACAUUUUUGUGUUAGAUACAUCCGUAUCUAAACAAAUGUAAGACAAGAAUUUUGGGACAGAGGUAAUACUAC